rnacentral:tRNA from 3 species
AGAAGUUUAGGUUAAAAAGACCAAGAGCCUUCAAAGCUCUAAGUAAGUAUCCCCACACUUAACUUCUG